UCUUACAGAUGAGCAAAAAAAGUGGUUUCUUGAGAUGGAAUCUACUCUUGCCCACGAUGUUGUGAA
rnacentral:pre_miRNA from 1 species